CACGUAGGGGCAAGCGUUGUCCGGAUUUAUUGGGCGUAAAGAGCUCGUAGGUGGUUCGGUAAGUCGGGUGUUAAACCCCCAGGCUCAACCUGGGGACGCCACUCGGUACUGCUGUAACUAGAGUCCGGUAGGGGAGCGUGGAAUUCCUGGUGUAGCGGUGAAAUGCGCAGAUAUCAGGAGGAACACCAGCGGCGAAGGCGGCGCUCUGGGCCGGUACUGACACUGAGGAGCGAAAGCGUGGGUAGCAAACAGG
rnacentral:rRNA from 1 species